AUUGAACGCUGGCGGAAUGCUUUACACAUGCAAGUCGAGCGGCAGCGCGGGGCAACCUGGCGGCGAGCGGCGAACGGGUGAGUAAUACAUCGGAACGUACCCAGUUGUGGGGGAUAGCCCGGCGAAAGCCGGAUUAAUACCGCAUACGACCUGAGGGUGAAAGGGGGGGAUCGCAAGACCUCUCGCAGUUGGAGCGGCCGAUGGCGGAUUAGCUAGUUGGUAGGGUAAAGGCCUACCAAGGCGACGAUCCGUAGCGGGUCUGAGAGGACGACCCGCCACACUGGAACUGAGACACGGUCCAGACUCCUACGGGAGGCAGCAGUGGGGAAUUUUGGACAAUGGGGGUAACCCUGAUUCAGCCAUUCCGCGUGAGUGAAGAAGGCCUUCGGGUUGUAAAGCUCUUUCGGCAGGAACGAAACGGUCCUUUCUAAUACAGAGGGCUAAUGACGGUACCUGAAGAAGAAGCACCGGCUAACUACGUGCCAGCCGCCGCAGUAACAC
rnacentral:rRNA from 1 species